GUUAGAUUUAGCCAGUGAAAAGGGUUUUAGUGAAAAGAGUUUACAAAUUCAAAACUAACAACAAUUACACAUCAAACAUAUAGCACAUGACAACUAGCAGGUGAAAACUGAAUAGAACUUUUAGGAGACGAAACCAUCCUCCACUCAACACUAAAAUCCCCAUUUUGCCCUUCACUCACUCUCCCUUCCGCUACGUUAAUCCCACUGGCCACCACAAACACACGAUCAUCAGCUCCCGUCACGGCGAAAGGACGCCGCAUCUUCUCCCCCUGUAGCUUCUCACCACUCACGUACCUCCACGUGUCAUCAUCUGAACAAUAAACCUUCAUCGGAAAAUCACCGUGCUCCGAGAUCACAAACAGCCUGUCGCGGAUCACGACGCUCACACCCGUCCACCCUUCUUUCAUCCCACCGCUCAUCUCUCGCCACGUGCCUUCGUCGGAGUCGUACACUUGUCCCAUCGGUGGAAACAUGAACGGCCACGCCCAUCCUUCUGUUACACACAUCUCUUUCCCGAUCACGGCUGAGUCAUACUUCGCCAACACCAUCGGCAACUUCUUCACAACCGUCCACGUGUCAUUAUCUGGAUCAUACGAUUCAACUUCCGUAGUUGCUUCUCCGUUUCCGCCCACACUCCCACCAACGGCCAUGAUUUUACCGUUAACAUUCCCGGAGACGAAGUACGUUCUCGGGCUCAUCAUCGGAGAUAUACACGACCAACGAUUCGUUAGAGCAGUGUAAACGACGGCGGAGCGGUUUACAUCUCCGCCGCCGAGUACAAAAAGCUUCCCCUGACGUGGCAUCGACGCGCAUGAGAGUGCGUGAGGAGACGAGAUUUUGGUGAAAGAGUUUGGCAUGGGAGGUAAAACAAACCAACGGCCAGAUGCAAGGUCAAGGGAUUGCCAUUGAAUCCUAGCCGUUGAUUUGUUGAAAGCGAAGACAAAUAGGUAAGGAGAAGAGAUAGAAAGAGAUUGCUUGGAGAAGAGGAAUCUAGGGUUUGUGAUGGUUUUGUUCCAUGAAGAUGAAACAGAGCGAUAUAGAGCAUGGUAUGGGUAAGGAAGACGAAGAAGACAAAGCUCAGCUAUAUCAUUUGGUAGACCUGAAAUCAAUGGCUGAGAUUUUGUUCUUGUUUCUUCUUCUGCUUGAUCAUUAAUGGUGUUUAUGUUUGACGUAGUUUCUUGUUCUGCCAUUGUUGUUGAUAUUCAUAAGAUGAAAUGGUUUUAGAUAUAAAAUGUUAAAGUUUGGGAAAAG
rnacentral:lncRNA from 1 species